UACGGAGGGGGCAAGCGUUACUCGGAAUUAUUGGGCGUAAAGGGCGCGUAGGCGGUCGUGCGCGUCGGAGGUGAAAUCCCCGGGCUUAACCCGGGAGCUGCCUCCGAUACGGCACGGCUUGAGUCCGGGAGAGGGGAGCAGAAUUCCCAGUGUAGCGGUGAAAUGCGCAGAUAUCGGGAGGAACACCAAUGGCGAAGGCAGCUCGCUGGGACGUUACUGACGCUGAGACGCGAAAGCGUGGGGAGCAAACAGG
rnacentral:rRNA from 1 species